GAGAAUGAAUUUCCUAGCAGGAUUAUAGCUACCACACGAGUUGUUGAUGUAGCAAGAUCAUGUUCUCAUGGUGGUAAUGGCCGCAUGUAUGAAAUGGAAGCCCUAAAUGAUCUCCACUCCAAACAAUUGUUCUUCAAAAGAAUAUUUGGUUCUGAGGACCGCUGCCCUGAUAUGCUAAAACAAGUUACGAAUAAAAUACUGAAGAAAUGUGGAGGCCUCCCAUUGGCAAUUAUCAGUAUAGCAGGUUUAUUGGGAAACAGACCGGAGGUCAAAGAUGAGUGGGAGAGAGUCAGAAGGUCUAUUGGAUCUGCAUUGGAAAAAAACCAAAGCUUAGAUGGAAUGAAGAACAUAUUAUCCCUUAGUUACAUUGAUCUUCCACCCAACCUCAAGACCUGCUUGUUAUAUUUAUGUAUAUAUCCUGAGGAUUAUGUGAUUGAGAGAGAUACUUUAGUGAGGCGCUGAAUAGCGGAAGGCUUUAUCUCUGAAGAGCGCGGACGAAGCAAGCAAGAGGUUGCUGAGAACCACUUCUACGAGCUAAUAAACAAAAGUAUGGUCCAACCGGUUGAAAUUGGCUAUGAUGGAAAGGCUCGUGCUUGUCAAGUCCAUGACAUGAUGCUUGAGCUCAUUAUUUCAAAAUCGGCUGAAGAUAAUUUCAUCUCUUUGGCAGGCCAUGGUCAAACUGAUUUGGCAAAGCGUGAUGGUCUUAUUUGGUGA
rnacentral:rRNA from 1 species